GCUCUUUUAGCUCAGUUGGUUAGAGCGUCGUGCUUAUAGUCCAUAACUAUACUGAAGUCACGCGAAGGUCGCGAGUUCGAUCCUCGCAUAGAGCA
rnacentral:tRNA from 1 species